GAAAGCUUGCAUUAUAGUCCAACCUGCUAACCAUUGCGCCACUGACACUAAAUUGUCCAUAUAUAUUAUAGCGGAGCUUCAUAACUGUUUUUCUCCAUUUCCAAAGCACCAUUUGCAUUCUUAAUACAUCCGCGAACAACACUGUUCCUACAAAAUCUGACUACCUUGCCCAGGACUUUGAUCAGGGUCCAAAAUAUUAUAAUUAUAGUCAUUUCUCUAUCACCCAAACCUGAUGACGAUUAUAUUUAAAACUUUAAAAAUGUCUUAGUCAUGUGCUACCCAUUGCUACACUUAAUAACAUAAAUGAAAGGAUCAUGUCGGUCUUUUCUUAUUCAAACAUUUCACUUAGAAAUAUUGAUGCGGUUUGAAGCAAACAGUUAAAACAAUUUGUAGCUAACCAAACAGUAGCGUACACUCUUUUUGGAGUAAUUUAUGACUUAACAGUAGCAUACGUUCUGUUGGAAUAUCGAUGCAUUUGUAGCUAUCAACAACCAGUUGCUUACAUUCUACGAAAUAUUGAUGCAGUUUGUAGCAUACAUUCUAUGGAAAGUUGAGGUGCCUUAUGUGUAGCUUAAUAACAAACAGUAGCAUAUGUUUUAUUGGAAUAAUAAUGCAGUCUGUAGCUUACAAUAGCCAGUAAGUUGGUAACUGGAAUAUCAAUGUAGUUUACAACACCAGUAGCACACAUUCUACGGAAUAUUGAUGCAACGUGUAGCUUAUUGGGCAAAAACAUACAUUCUACGGACUAAUGAUGCAGCAUGUAGCGUACUAGACAGUAGCAUACAUUCUACGGACUAGUGAUGUAACGUGUAGCUUACCUGACAGUAGCAUACACUCUACGGAAUGUUGACGCAACGUGUAGUUUACCAAACAGUAGCAUAUGGAAUAUAGAUGCAGCAGCGUGUAGCUUACCAGACAGUAGCAUAUGGAAUGUUGAUGCAACGUGUAGUUUAUCAGACAGUAGCAUAUGGAAUGUUGAUACAACGUGUAGUUUACCAGACUGUAACAUAUGAAAUGUUGAUGCAACGUGUGGUUACCAGGCAGUAGCAUAUGGAAUGUUGAUGCAACGUAUAGCAUACCAGUCAGUAGCAUAGGGAAUGUUGAUGCAACGUGUAGUUUACCAGACAGUAGCAUAUGGAAUGUUGAUGCAACGUGUACUAGUUUACCAGACAGUAGCAUAUGGAAUGUUGAUGCAACGUGUACAGUAGCAUAUGGAAUGUUGAUGCAACGUAUAGCAUACCAGACAGUAGCAUACUGAAUGUUGAUGCAACGUAUAGUUUACCAGACUGUAGCUUAUGGAAUGUUGAUACAACGUGUAGUUUACCAGACUGUAGCAUAUGGAAUGUUGAUGCAACGUGUGGUUACCAGACUGUAGCAUAUGGAAUGUUGAUACAACGUUUGGUUACCAUACAGUAGCAUAUGGAAUGUUGAUGCAACGUGUGGUUACCAGACAGUAGCAUAUGGAAUGUUGAUACAACGUUUAGUUACCAGACAGUAGCAUAUGGAAUGUUGAUGCAACGUAUAGCAUACCAGACAGUAGCAUAUGGAAUAUUGAUGCAACGUGCAGUUUACCAGACUGUAGCAUAUGAAAUGUUGAUGCAACGUGUGGUUACCAGGCAGUAGCAUAUGGAAUGUUGAUGCAACGUAUAGCAUAGCAUAUGGAAUGUUGAUGCAACGUGCAGUUUACCAGACAGUAGCAUAUGGAAUGUUGAUGCAACGUGUAGUUUACCAGACAGUAGCAUAUGGAAUGUUGAUGCAACGUAUAGCAUACCAGACAGUAGCAUAUGGAAUGUUGAUGGAACGUGCAGUUUAUCAGACAGUAGCAUAUGGAAUGUUGAUGCAAAGUGUAGUUUACCAGACAGUAGCAUAUGGAAUGUUGAUACAACGUGUAGGUUACCAGACAGUAGCAUAUGGAAUGUUGAUGCAACGUGUAGUUUACCAGACAGUAGCAUAUGGAAUGUUGAUGCAAGAUGUACAGUAGCAUAUGGAAUGUUGACGCAACGUAUAGUUUACCAGACAGUAGCAUAUGGAAUGUUGAUGCAGCGUAUAGCAUACCAGACAGUAACAUAUGGAAUGUUGAUGCAACGUAUGGUUACCAGACAGUAGCAUAUGGAAUGUUGAUGCAACGUGUAGUUUACCAGACAGUAGCAUAUGGAAUGUUGAUACAACGUGUAGUUUACCAGACAGUAGCAUAUGGAAUGUUGAUGCAACGUGUGGUUACCAGACAGUAGCAUAUGGCAUGUUGAUGUAACAUAUAGCAUACCAGACAGUAACAUAUGGAAUGUUGAUGCAACGUGUAGUUUACCAGACUGUAGCAUAUGGAAUGUUGAUGCAACGUGUAGUUUACCAGACAGUAGCAUAUGGAAUGUUGAUGCAAGAUGUAGCUUACCAGACAGUAGCAUACAUUCUGCGGAAUAUUGCUGCAAAACAUUGAUUCAUUGAAUAUUGAUUUAAUUUGUGGUUUCUUACUGAUUUUAUUACAACAAACAGAAGUAUAUAUUCAACGAAAUAUUGAUGCAAAGUUAGUUCACAAUAACUGACUGUAUCAUUUAUUCUAUGACAAUUCUAACAGACAAGAAAGUUUGGCUGGUCUGAUACUAGUUUGAAUUAUGACACCGACAGAUAGUGAAUUAAGCUAAUAACUACUGUAAAUAUUAUGACAGUUGGUAAUUUCUUUUGACAACUGAAUCAUUAUUGAAUAAUAUUUGCAUACAUUUAUUUAAGUUAACGUGUAAACAAAAUAAAUAUUACCAUAUAUACGAAACUACAAAAUAUGGCGGUCCUAGUAUAUAAUACGUGUACUGUGACUGUGGCAUCACCUGUGAAAAAGAUAUAUCAUUCUCUAAUUAUUAAAACCCGAGAUAGUAAGCGUUUUUGUAGAAAAGUUUAAGAAAAACUGUUUCAGUAUUAUGUUGUUUUUUUGGCGUGUCUACGUGUCUUGGCUGAAAAUCUUACUAGUAGGUACUUGAACCAUGUCUGACAGUUGAGUUUGUAAAAAUGUGUCUUCCCCAUUUCAGUAAAAAAUGUCAGCAUUACCAAAAUUGUGAUAGUUUUGAGGUUAGAGAAGUGUAUAUAUGAACGAGUUAAUCGACAACGAUUGUUUUUAGCAAAGGAGACUGGGCAAACGAAUAUGAACCUGUUACAGGUUUUAGAUUUCUCACUGUGUAAAUAAUCGAUACAGACGACAAUUGUUGAAAUGUAAAUUUAUACAAGAUCUUUCGUCGUCACAGAGUAUCAGGAAGGUUGAAUCUAUCGUUUAUUUGUUCUGCAGUCUUGACAACAUCAGACGCACAUGCGCCGCGUGCACGAGGUCCGUUCUUGGUGAGUAAAUGCUCCGGCUCACGCAGACAUAAUGACAUGCGCUUAAUAGGCAAUGGUCAAUAUUACAUGUAAAGAACCUAUAAAUAAGAACACUUCUGUGUUGGCAGCUUGCAGCGUUUCCCUUUGUGAGAGAAAGAAAGAAGUAUGUUUUACUUGUAACAUAUUUCAAGUACAAUAAUUUGAUCAAUAGUCUUUGAAAUAUGACAACGUUUCUACAGUCUUGAUGGAUGCAUGAGUAACACACGGUUGGAUGCCGAGUAAAGUACCGGUUGGAUGCCGAGUAAUGUACCGGUUUGGAUUCAAACAGAAUCGUCUGCUCGAUUGAGAAUCAGUGACAACAUUCAUUUUUAGACGAAAAAAAGUUUUUCUUAAAGAAAAAGCUCUUUCUAUUUAGUUAUUUUGAAUUAUUUACGAAUGUACAUAUCUGUAUCUACACACGUUAUAGUUAAAUAGAAUCAGGUUAUCCCUUUCCGUACCCCCCCACCCCCCUCAAAGACAGCAGUACCAAAAAUGUUCGUGUGGUUUCAGAUCUAGUUGGUGGCCAUCUUUUUUACUUCUUCUAAACAGUAUACAGUGUGCCGAUCUUCACCGGUUCAAAUACUCAUCUUAGCCGCCACAACUAGUGAAGGUUAAAAGUUUUCCUAUUUAAUGUUUUAAUAUGUUAAAUUAAUUAUUGCAAUUGUAUUCUUUUAAAAAAAUUCGCUAUUUUCCAGUCUGUUAAAGCAUGACACGAAAAUUGCUCAAUUAUUGCCACAAUUUAUUACCCUCCAAAAAGUUUAUGUGAGAUUUUGAUUUCUUUACAUUUUUUAUGUAAAACGAGCCGAUGAAUUUCAAGAUAUCAUUGUACCGGUAUAUACCGGCUACUGAUGCAUGAGGGAAAACCUAUAUAUACCUCUUUCAUUAUACAAUGAUGAAACAUAAAUUGCAUUUUGCAAAGUAUUUCAUUAGGAACUUACUUAAACGAAAAUGUAAAAAACGUGUAUAUUUAAAGGUUUGACCGGUAUUUUUUUAUGUACAACAUUGCAAGAUUCUCGCACCGGGCCUGAGAAGAAUACAUUUCAGGCAGAACCUCGUAUGAAGAAAUCUGUAUGAGAAAUGUAAAAAUAUCUUGAGCUCGCCGUGAGGACAGUCCGGGGAGCUUUUAAUAUAUCGCCGACCGUAACGGCAGUACGUCAUCGUCCACGUCGGACAUUGACACUUUGAUAAAGAUUGGGUACAAGCGCAUACAUUAAACAAUCUCCUCCUAUAGUGUUUAGCUAGAUGAGUCCUGCCCUCCACUCAUAUAGGUAUCGGCGAGCCCAGCUAUGUACUGUCCGCUUAGGCCGCUGUAUAGUUCAGUGAGCGAGUGUGCUGGGUUAAAUACGGCAUGUCAAGUCGUGGUAGGCUUAUAUAAACAAAACAUGCAUUUGUAAUCGAUGAGCUUCAACUGAACACGACACCUUUUUUCUCCUCUCUUUAAUGACAAGCUAGGACAGUUAUCCUCUCCGACUCCCACGAAACAUUGGUCCUAUCGUAAACACUUGUCCUGUUUAGUUCAGUACUUACAAUGUAUUUUUAUUUCAUACUUCUUUACCUAGUUUCACCCAUCUGUAUGGAACGUUAUGUAGUCAAUGACUGCCAGGCGUUACAAGCGUUACGCAGCAAUAGUCUGCAACACAACCAGUCAACCAACCAAAAUGAGUGACUGUCAUAUUGAAGGAAUGGACAAGUAACACACGAAUGAAUGAAUGAAUGAAUGAAUGAAUGAAUAUUCUAGACCAGUAUGGCGAUGAUAUCUGUUUUAGUCAUAUUCAUUCAAUAUGUAAUGCAGGAAGUGUUAAAUACUUAAUUGAAAUAGAUAAACUAAUAUGGCAUGGUAAAAAAAUCAGGAAGUUUGAAAUAUAUGUAGAAUCUGUAUCAGAUAUCAGUCUACGUAAUUGGAUAGUCAAUACCUUCUGUCAGAAUGCCAGUUUGGUUUUAUUGUUGUCACGUACGUUAUGUAUUUGAGAAACGUGAGCACAAAUGGAGCAUUUAAUGAGACUUUCAAAGUUAUUGAUAGUUUCUGUUAUUGUUUCAAACGGCAAAAUGUCUAAAACAGUUAAGAUUCUUUCUGAGCAGGCACUUAAAGCUAUCAAUAAACUCUGAAGUCUUUUAAAAGCAUUGCUGUAGAUGUUGAAAAGUCAGUCCACACUAGUAAAAAAAAAAUUCAAGUAUCUAGGUGAAGUUUUUAAAGUUUGGAAUAAUAACGUAAAUGCGUUGUCUUUAUGUCCAAUCUUGACCUGUUUCUCAGCUGCAACUACGUUAGAUUUAUGACAUUUAUAGACGAACUAGUUAUUGUGUUCUGUCAUGAAAAGCAUA